CGGUAAUGGGUAAAGAAGCACCGGCUAACUACGUGCCAGCAGCCGCGGUGAUACGUAGGGUGCGAGCGUUGUCCGGAUUUAUUGGGCGUAAAGGGCUCGUAGGUGGUUGAUCGCGUCGGAAGUGUAAUCUUGGGGCUUAACCCUGAGCGUGCUUUCGAUACGGGUUGACUUGAGGAAGGUAGGGGAGAUGGAAUUCCUGGUGGAGCGGUGGAAUGCGCAGAUAUCAGGAGGAACACCAGUGGCGAAGGCGGUUCUCUGGGCCUUUCCUGACGCUGAGGAGCGAAAGCGUGGGGAGCGAACAGGCUUAGAUAUCCUGGUAGUCCACGCUGUAAACGGUGGGUACUAGGUGUGGGGUCCAUUCCACGGGUUCCGUGCCGUAGCUAACGCUUUAAGUACCCCGCCUGGGGAGUACGGCCGCAAGGCUAAAACUCAAAUGAAUUGACGGA
rnacentral:rRNA from 1 species